CCUACGGGUGGCAGCAGUGAGGAAUAUUGGUCAAUGGACGAGAGUCUGAACCAGCCAAGUAGCGUGAAGGAUGACUGCCCUAUGGGUUGUAAAUUUCUUUUAUAAAGGAAUAAAACGAGGCACGUGUGCCUUUUUGCAUGUACUUUAUGAAUAAGGAUCGGCUAACUCCGUGCCAGCAGCCGCGGUAAUACGGAGGCUCCGAGCGUUAUCCGGGUUUAUUUGGUUUAAAGGGAGCGUAGAUGGGUUGUUAAGUCAGUUGUGAAAGUUUGCGGCUCAACCGUAAAAUUGCAAUUGAUACUGGCAGUCUUGAGUACAGUUGAGGUGAGCGGAAGUCGUGGUGUAGCGGUGAAAUGCUUAGAUAUCACGAAGAACCCCGAUUGCGAAGGCAGCUUACUAAACUGUGACUGACAUUGAUGCUCGAAAGUGUGGGUAGCAAACAGGAUUAGAUACCCUGGUAGUC
rnacentral:rRNA from 1 species